UAGGGUGGUUUUAGCGGUGGGGCUCACCUGUUCCCAUUCCGAACACAGAAGUUAAGCCCACCAGCGCCGAUGGUACUGCGAAAGCGGGAGAGUAGGUCGCCGCCGGUUUUUAUUUAAAACUCCUUCAUCAAUCGAUGAAGGAGUUUUUUUAUGCCCAAAAAGCAAAAAACUACAAACGCUAAAAUCAAAAACAAAAGAAUAAACAAAAGUCUCAUACAUAUUUAUGUAUGAGACUUUUUUCGUUUUAUACCAUAACAACUCCAAUACCCAAAAAAAUACAUGAGUAAUAAGCAAUGGUAAUUAAUAAUUUUGCUAGAUGCUAGAUGCUAGAUGCUAGAUGCUAGAUGCUAGAUGC
rnacentral:rRNA from 1 species